GAUCCGACUUCGUCUGUGGUCCAAUCAACCUGAAAUUUGGAGAAGAGGUUUGUGACUCAUUGAUCUUCAAUCUGAACGGUGAAGAUCGGAUUUGAAGUUCCAGACAAUCAUUUUUUAGUCCGAGAAUAGAGCCUCUAUUUUGGUGAGUUUUCUAUCCGGACAGUUUUGAUCAUGAGCUCCGAUCAAGGUUAAUAUGUGGUUCGAUUAAGCUAAGUUUUGGUGAGCACGUUCAAAACUCAUUGAUAUUCAUUCUAAAUGGUGGAGGUUGUAUUUGGAGUUCAGAACAGUUAAAUUUUAGUCUGAGAACAGUGGUUGUGAUUGGUAAGAUUUCUCCAUUGUCUUUAUGCAAAGUUGUUGAAAUUGCCAAGAUUAAUUUGUUUUGAGAUAUGGUUUAUGUAUGCCUCUAGUUUUAUCUAGAGAGAAUUGUGUAACCCAUUGAUUAUAUUAGUGGUUUUUUUAAGUGGCCUAAGGGUCCCGUGGUUUUUACUUCUCACAUUGGAGAAGGUUUUCCAUGCUAAAAAUUGUUGGUGUUCAUAUACUUGUUGAUUGGGUGAAUUCUUGUUGCUCUAUUUGAUUGAUUCCUAUUAGUUUCUCACAAGAGGGGAUAAAAUCUGGUUGUGCAUUGUUUGUGUUUAUCCCAUCAAGCCAUGGCCAUGUUUCAGUGAAACACAAUGACCAGAAGGGAGAUUUUCUAUUUUCCAAACUGCGGGUGAAGUUGUGUAUAUUGUAUUUGUGGGUCAUGUUUCUUGUAUUUUAAUACAUCUUUCGCACAUCACUGGUUUAGACCAUGUGAAGAUUGUCUUGUCCUGUUAAUUUAUUUUGCAUAAUUUUUUAAUUCAUUUGGAGAAUAUGAUUUUAUUUGGAAGAAAGACUAUUAUGAAUUUGCUUAAGAAUUACGGGUCUUCUAUGAUACUAUCUAUAUUUUUUUAAUCAACUUUCCGUACUUCAUUUGGAUACCUACUAAAUUUAUAGAAGAGUGAAUUGAAGAGGGAAUAAAAGCUUUUCAAUUUCAAUUGGAUUCUCCUUGAAGAUUUUGAAUGAGUCUUCCCAAAAGGUUCAAAAGUCCCCUAAUUAAAUGGCUUUAAUUGAGAGGCUUAAUUACAAGAAGAUGAAAUCACAUCUCACGCAUCCUUUGAUACUUGAUGGUAAUAGAUCAUUUGUGUGUAUUAAUUGAAACAUGUAGACAUACAAAUGAAAUAGCUAGAUUGUUGCAAAAAAGUACGACUAUAAGACCAGGGUGGAUCCAAAGAAGAAUUUCUUUAUUACCACUAGACAAUAAAUGUUUUUUGUUCAACUUUUGUCCCCCCUUAAAUAAAGAGUUACAUGUUGCUCCCCCGGGCCAUUUGCAACUUUUGUCCCCCCUAAAUAAAGAGUUACAUGUUGCCCCACUCAAGCUAUUUGCUGGCUCUGCCACUGAUCAUUUAGGGUCUUAUGAUUAAUGAAGUGCAUUCAUACAAUACCUCUCUUAUUAUAAAUGUAAGAUUUUGCAAAAUACAAAUAACCAGCCAAUCCUAAUAGACCGAGCCCAACAAGAAGCCAAUAAAAGUAAUCAAGAUGUGCUUUAUUGAGGUUAUCAUUGAACCAGCUAUCAUGGCCAUCUCCACCAGUUACUUUAUCAGUGGCAGAGAUGAGAAAGCUGCUCAGGAAGCUCCCUAACCCAAAAAUACUGAGGUUGAGGGCAAUACCAACACUCCUUAAUUCAUUUGGGGCCUGAUCAUAGAAAAAUUCUUGAAAACCUACCAUGGCUAACGCAUCCCCAACUCCAGACAAUACAUAUUGAGGAACCAACCACCACACGCUCAUUGGAAUGGUCACAUUUGGUGUAUCAACCAGGCCGUGUUCUUCAGCUUUCUUGAGCCGUUUCACCUCUAUUAAUGCUGCAAUUACCAUUGAAAUGAUGUAUAAAAACAUCCCCGUUCCAAUUCUCUGAAGCAUUGAUAAGCCAGAAGGUUUCCUGGUUAAAUGUCUUGCAAUAGGAACCAAAAUGCGGUCAUAUAUGGGAAUGAAGAUGACAAUGGUGGUGGUAUUCAAGGAUUGAAGUGAAGCAGCCGGUAUGUCAAAACCCAAGCCAGUUGAUCUAUCCAUAGUAAUUCCUUGCUUGGUAAAGAAAGUGGAUAAUUGUGCUGGCAAGAUACCAAACACCAAACUAGUAAUCCAUAUGGGAAACAGCUUUAGAACUGCCUUCGCUUCUUCAACGUCACUGAAGCUACAUGCCUUUCCAUCCUCCUUCGAACAGUCUAGUGUAAGCAAGGCCUUGCUGAGAAACCUGUCACAACUGAAAGAGAGCCAAGUGAUCGAAAUGUUACAGUAGAAGUACACAUACUAAAAUAAUUAUCUGAAUUCAGACCAUUUUUACUUAGUCUAAAGUCUUGAAAAUUAGAAAGAAAUUCAUACAAGACCCUCAUUUACAAAAUUCAUUGCUGUGAAAUAUGCGCUUCCCCCCCUCCCCCUUUUUUUUAUGGAAAAAAAAUUGAAAUACGCCAAACCUAAUAAUCAUACUUGAACUGAUGGGAACCAUGGUGAGGCAGGGUCUCUCCAGCAACCUCCUCUGCAGUUUUCAGUGAUGGCAUGGUUCUCCAAUUCCUAGUUGCUUCAACAAACACCUUGCCAAUUCUCACAAAUGGGUUUUCCUCAUUGGUGUUGAUACUAUAACGGUAAGUCUUAGUUCCAAGCAAGAAAAGGAGCAGCGCUGCCACCAUGACAAUGCAGGGGAUUCCAAAUCCAAGAACCCAGUUAAGAUUUUCUUGAAUGUAGCUCAAGAUCAAGAAAGCUACUGAAAUACCACUGCAUAGAGCAAAAUACCACCAGUUGAAGAACGAGCUCUUAGCUUUGCACUCCUCUGGAUGUUGUCCAUCAAAUUGGUCAGCUCCAAAAGCCUGAGUGCAAGGCUUGUGCCCACUUUGGCCAAUUGUUACUAGAUAUAGAGAGAAAAAGAAUAAGACUACUUGGAACUGGGGAGGAUUGUCAAUGUUUUGGCAGAAGGAAGGGAUCAGAGAAGGAAGCAUAGCCGACAGGGUUAACAAGCCUAGUCCCUGCAAUAUGUAGUAGUUCAAGUCAAUGAUAGUAAUUAUUCAAUUACAGCAGAAGAGUUUUCUUGAGAGCCUUUAAGAUUUUUAGUGUUUACAUUAGUCCUUUAAAUGGUGUUCUUCCUAUUAUUACCAAUUUUCUUUGUAAGACUAUAAAUAGAUAUUUAGAGGAGAGAGUUUAGAAUCUGAUGGUGGUGAUUCUUCCGUUAGAAAGUUUAACAGCGCUAGCUAUACUGGGGCAGAUAACUGGAAGUUGAAACAUGUCAAAACACAAAUCAUGUUGUUCAUAGAAAAUAACCUGACUUUAUUGAUUGCUAAUUUCAAUAAUGUAAGAGGCUACAAUCAGGGGUGUAAUAGGGCCAGGUUACGCCAGACUUGGGCUUUCAAGGCUUGGGUUGGAGCCAACUCUUUCGUGGCCCUAAUUUAGUUGAUCUGGAACUAAUUCCCAACUAAUCCUAGUUCUAGCCUGAGCUUAGCUCAAUACUAGGGAACCGGAUUAUCUGGGAAAUGACAACAUCCAAACCUAGUAGAAGAAUAGAGAAAAAGAGAGAAGACAAAAGAUUUACAUGGUUCAAUGUAAUUACUUACAUCCACAAGAAUGGAAGAUCAAAUUCUCUAAUAAACUUAAGAAUUCUUUCUCAAACUCUUUACCUAUAACCUAAUACACUACGUCUAUUCCUGUUCACUCUUCUCACUAUUCUAACACUUCGACAACUCACUUUUUUUUACUUUCACUAUAAAUCUUAUAUAACGCUACAUAUUUAUGAAGCAUUAUGGGCUAACAUUAAAUAGUGAGUUUCCAAAUCUUAAUCAAAUUAAAAAAUAGUAAUUUAGCGAACCUAAUAAAAAUAAAAAUAAAUCAUUUGAAUCAAAAUUGCUCUAACAAUCUCUACCUUAGCUCAAAUUCUACUACUCCAUAUUUGGUCUAUCUUCUUAAUACCCACCUUUGCACCCUUUAUGUGUAGGUUGCCACCAUUGCACUAUCAAUGAGAGUAAGUAUGUGUCAAGUUCAAAUUCUCAUUAAACUUUAUUUAAGAAAUGAUUUUUGUUUUUUCCAUAACUUCAUUCCUUAAAUUGGUUUCAUCCUUAUCCUAAUAAGUACUCUUAGCUGAUAACAGAGUCUUGAUCAUCUUGCAUUUAUCCUUUUGUCUAAAUUAUUUUUGUUUUUUAGUAACUUCAUUCCUUUUGCAACUAGCCUCAUCCUUAUCCUAGUUAUCAUCCUUAGCUGAAAGAGGAGUCUUAAUCAUCUUAUUUUUAUUCUUUUCAUCUAAUAUGAACAUCUUGUCGUGAUCUUUUAUCCUGACAACUUCUUCAACACUAUUAUAAGACUCUUCAUGGUGUGGCUCCACCAUUAUAACUUCACCUAAAGCUAUCUUCCCAAUUAAGUUGUAUAAAAUUUUUAUCUUAUCCCUUCAUAGUUACCAAAGAAUCUUUAUUAAUAUUCAUAAUAUUAUUCUUUGUAGAAAAAUCAUAACCCAAAGUAUUUAGAGACCCUAAAAAAAUCAAACUCCUCAAUUCUGGAACAUGCUUAACAUCAGACAAUGUCCUCACAAUACCAUCAAACAUCAUCACCUUCACAGUACCCAUUUUAAUGGCUUUAGAGCUAGAACAUUACCCAUUAGAACAAUACUAACAUGACAUUCCUUCUAGGCGCCAAAACAAUUCUUAUAUUGGCACAUGAGAAUUUAUAAUCUAAAAUCCAAGAAUCACACAAUUUUCACCAACCAUAGUUAAAAAUUAAUAUAUAUAUAUAUAUAUAUAUAUAUAUAUAUAUAUAUAUAUAUAUAGAUAUAUAUAUAUCAUCAUCAUCAUUAUUAAAGUUUUCAUCAAUGACAUAAGUAGAACCUAAAAUCUCAUAGACUCAUCAUCAUUAGACUCAGGGAUUUAGAAGUUUUUCAAAUCUUUCAAAAUUUGAACAUUAAGUUCAAAGAUAUGAAGAACAACUUUAAAGAAUCUAAGAUUAAACUCGAAGAUCUAAAAAUUGAGUUUGAAAAUUUGUAGAUCAAGUUGCAAGAUUUAAAAACAAGUGCAAAGAUUCAAAGAUGAAUUUUGAAGAUUUGAAGAUUAAGUUUAAGACAUCUUCAAUCCAAAAUUUAGCAUUGAUGUUCUCAGUGAGCAUGAGUCAAGUCAAUGAAUCCAAGCUUAACAUGCCUAUGUACAAGCCUAGCUUAAGAUAUGCUAAGGUCCAAACCUAGACUCAAGACAUGCCAAAGUGUUAGGAUAGAGCCCUAGAAAGCAUGAAAUGAUGUAACAUAGUUUAGAUUCAUUAAUAAAUGUAUCUAUUUAUGAUUUUAGUUAUCUUUAUUAUCUCUUUUUGCAUUAAUUAAUCUUUAUUUGAGCAUUCAUGUUUAUAUCACUUGCAUUGUAUAUGACUUCAAUCCAUUAGGAGUUAUAUAGAAGAUCCAAGUCAUGGAUUCUAUUUAAGGUGAUAAGUGGUUUACAAUCAGUUUAGGGCAAUCCAACAAAGAUUGUAGUGUAGUACCUCAUAAUUGGAGGUACUACACUACAAGAUGAUUUCCCAUGAUAAGUAUACUAAUGUGUAUGGUUACAUAUUGGACAAAACUUAUGGUGAAUCAUGACAUUAGCUAUUGAGUCUGUACUGAAAUCAACAGAACAUUUUGACCUAUAAGUGAGACCUUAAGGCGGUCAUAUAUUCACUAUGGAUUGGGUCAUUAUUGAUGGAAGUUGGUGGCAAUAGGUAUUGUCAAUGAAGACACCAUGAUAUUUUAUAUGAUUGAGAUAGUGUGUUAUCUUGGAUGAUUAUAAGACAUGUAAUCAAGAAAACUAUGACUAUAGUAAUUUUUUAGAGAAAUUUAACUUAUACUCUUUGUGAGUUAGAGUAUGUUAGUUGAUCACAUGAUAGAAUGAUAUGUAAAUUAAGGAUUGGAAAGGUAAUUUUAAGAGGUUAAUAACAUUAUUUGGUUAAAUUACAAACAUCAAUUCAUAGGUGGUCUACAUAUAAUGGAUAGUAGGUCAUAGAUCCCACAUUGCAUCAUUGUAGUAUCAAAUGAUACUAGAUUAAAGUUGACUCUUUUUAGUGAAGUGUUGAAUCAAUUUCAAGAUUAGAUUAUAAGGAAGUUUAUGUUUUCUUAAGAUUAUAUUAUAAUGGAGUUUGUGUUUUCUUAUGGGUCCUAGUAAUCCUCACUUGAACUACAAAUUCAUGGUGGCAUGUUUGUAUGAGGGAUUUUGGAUUUAUAGUUCAUAAGUGUGUAUAAGAGCAUUUUGGUAAAAAUAACAUGUUACAAUAAAUCUUAUGAAUGACCUUUCUAAAUUUGGCUAAUUAAUUAAUUGGAGCUAAAUAAGGUUCACUAAUUACUUAUGACCCAAGUGAACUGGAUUAAGUGACCUAAGCGUAAGUUGGACCCAAGUCACUUAAGCCUAUAGGGAAGCCUAUAUAAAUCUCUUUAGGGGUUUAGGGUGAUUUAGACAAAAGUUAGGAUAUGCUCACAAGACCUAAAAAACAAUAAAAAAUUAAAAUAAGAAAUUAAAAAUUUUGAAAAAUGUUAGUUGAAAAAAAUUAAAAUUAAAAUAAAGAACAAAGAAAAUUUUCUUUGAAAUACGUUAUGACUUAAUCCUUAUUGGGUACAUAGGCAAUAUGGAAAAUAUUGCAAAUUCAGUCAAUGUUUCAAAUAAAAUAAGGUUCUAAUACCACUUAAGUUCUAUUCGUGAACUCUAUUGAUGAAAAAAAAAUCUAAAAAUUGUUCACUUUCUACAUGGAACUUGUGCCCUUGAAUAACAUUUUAAAGGGGCAUUUGUAGAAGGACAAAAUUUAACCUUUUACAAUUUAUCAUAUGCCCUAGGGUUUGGUGUCCAUUGGACCUUCCUCUAUUAACAAAAGUGACAAGAACCACCUUUGAGGCAAUUAAUGCCCCUUUAGUUUGUUGAUAUGUGAUGCUCAUUUCACUCCAAAUUUGGAAUUAUGAAAUUGCCCAAGUUACUUUAAAUUAACUUAUAAAUUAAUCUUGUUAAUUAACCUCAAAUUAAACCCUGAAUUGAUCCUAAUUAAUCGCAUAUUAAUAAUCCCCUUCACUAAUUACUAUAACCUAUAAUAUCAACUAUUAUAACCCGUUGAUUAGGGUCGAAUAUGUCAAUAAUUAUAACUCAUUGACUAGGGUCAUAGAAACCAAAGUCAAAACACUUUAUUUUAUUAAUUCAAACUUGCAAAACAAAAUAUCAUAUCUUCAAAAAUUUUCAUUUUCAUAAACAAUGAAAAUUCUCAAAUAUACUUUCCAUACAAAACACAUAUUUGAUUCAUGCAAAAAGAUAAAAAUAAUAUUAUUACACAUUUCAAAAUACAAUAUAAAAAUGAAACUAUUUUCUUUUAUAAAAAUCUGCAUUAAUUUUCCCUUACCUUGAAGAAGCGCUCAAAAACUUAAAGUAUUUAGCUUGACGAAUUUACUCCUCACCUAACAUAAUAUCAUACACAAUAUUGAUUAUUGAUUAUUUAUCUAAAUAUAUACAUUUGACAAUCUUAAAAAUAUUUUAUUUAGUAUUAGAGAUCCUAAUUAAUUUCUCAUAUUAAUAUUAUUAUCAUUCAAUAUUAUUUUCAACUUCCUAAAUAAUAAUUUAUUUCUUUUUUUCUAACUUAUCUAAAUUAAAUCUUUUAAGAAUAUUUAUUUGUAUUAAACUAUUAUUACUAUUAUUUAAAUCUCCUACUAAAACUUAACAAAUACCCCAUGCAAUUCUUUUUUCUUUUCUUUUUUUCAACAUUCCAAAUCCUUCCUACGCAUCUUUCAACAUUUUUUUUUUUUUUUUUUUUCUCUAAAGUCAAAACUUUUAACCUCCAUACUCACAAAUUUUAUGUAAUUUUCACAUCCGAAACUAUAUAAUUUUUUUUUAUCUAGAUCUAUUCAUUUGAGUAAUCAAAAGUUAUCGAUCUCCAUUAAUAAAUCAAACUAUGUUAAUAAAUUUUUAAUCUUUUUGACCUAAAAAUUAAUUAAACGAACUCUAAUCAAAAUUGAGAUAUUCCAAAAAAUAUCUAAUGUGUUCAAAACUAAUUAACGAAUAUAAAAUAUUAACUAGGGUUAGAAUCUUACUUGAAAAAAUAUGAACUUCAAACUCUAGACCUCCAAACCUUUAGCCUUAUGUUCUCCAAUUCUUUAAUUUUUGGUUAAUAAAGUUUUCUAAAUAAGGAAGAUAAGAGGAAAAUCUAAUUUAUACUUAGAAUUUUUAAUUGUAAAAUGACUAUUUUACCUUUAAUGAAUUUAAUUAAUUAAUUCAUUAAUUUACUAUUUUACCCCUAAAGUUUAUUUUGGGUGUUACAUGACUAAUUACUAUAACCUAGAGUCUAAACUAAUCCAUAAGAAGCAGCCACAAAAUGGUCCCUUCUAUAUCAUAUUCAUUUAUUCAAAAUACUAAUAGCCGAGUCCCUACCUUCCUUUCAACUAUACUCUCUCUCUCUUCUUUUUUUUCUUUUUUUUCUGUUUACUACAAUAAUAAGGAUUGGACAAGAAAAAAAAAGGACAAAAAGAAAAAGGAAAACCCGCCGACAGCAUCUCUUGAUCGAAAAAGGACAAUAGAUAAUACAUAGCCGUAGCGCAUGAUACAUAAUGUGUGUGGGGCACUUGUCCUGAACUAAAAGAAUAUAUGGAGUAGAAUAACAUGUAUUAAAGUUGAUUAAUGCUAAGCCGACCAGUCCCAUCAGUUAUGGGCUAGUGGACAACGAUUCUAAAUCUACACGUCUUAUUCAAUUCAAAAAAAUCUCCAAGUGAUAGGAUUGUGAUCGACUUUUACAAUUGGUACAUAUUAACACACCUACUCUUACAAUGUAAAAAGAUAUAUUAACGAUAAUUCUCUCAACAACUACAUAGACUACCUUUGAUUUCUAUAUGUAAAAUAAAAGGUAUCCCAUGACCAACCACCAGAUACCACAAGAAUAAGAUAAAGAGUAAGACAAACCAGGAUGUAGAGAAGAGAUGCAAUAACAAUAGUGCGAUAUCGACCCAGAAAGGAAUCUGCAACGAAUGCCCCAAGCAAAGGGAGUAGACACCCAGCCCCGCUAAAUGUAUUAACGUUCUGGGCAGCCACGGCCAUGGACUGCCCCAGUGGCCCCGUAAGAUAGCUUAUAAGAUUGAAUGAUAUGCCAUAGUAAGCAAUCCUCUCCGCCAGUUCCACACCUACAGAUAUAAAAACUGCUCUUAAUUCUAUACAAAACUAUAGGAAAAGUUGUUUGGUUUGUCAGAAAAGCAAAUUCCACGAGCUUGCUGGGAAGCAAACGAUUUCCCAGUAGAGCUUACCGAUGAUGAAAGAGGCUGACCUCCAACCACCAGAUCUAGAUCUCUUGGCUGGAACACCUCUGUAGUCCACAACACCCUCCACGGCGUCCUCAAGGAAUGGUGUCUCGGAGUCUAAAGAGAUGUCCGAGAUGGCCAUGUCUCGGCAAACCAGAGAUACAAAAGGGAGAUUUUCUUUACCUUUACUUUUGCUUCUCUUUUUCAAAUCCUGUGGGCAGCUGCGUUUGAGGGUUAUGCUUCUUGUAUUUUAGUUUGAUAGCUACCUAUGAGGUCAGAACACGAUUAGCGACUAUGCCAAGCCAGUUUUCUCUUAAAACUUCAAAAAAAAAACAAAACAAAACAAAAAAACGAACAAAAAAUUGAAAAAAAAAAAAAAAAAAAAGACACUAAUUGACAAACUCCACCGAACUAGAUUCUUUUUCUCUUUUGAUUUGCCAUGCAUGUGUUACCAUAUUCCUUAAGUACAAUAAGCCUUUGAAUUUGACAAUUUGAUUUAAUUUGACAAUUUGGGGAUUUGAUUUACUUAUAAUGGAACACUUUUUAUAUAUAGGUUAUUUGAUUAAAUGGAUCAAUAAAAACCCAAUUUUUAAAAUUUAAUCCUCUAUUCUUUUUUUAUUUCAUUUUGAUAAAAAUACCCUCGUUAUUUUCUUGUAAAAAUAACAUUUUAUUUUAAAACAUAAUUAUAAAUACUUGAAAUAAUAAAAAAAACAUUUAUGUCAAAAAUGGGUUACUUUUCAAGAAAAAAACAUGGGAAAUGUUAGUUUCACAAUUUAGGGACUAUUUCAUCCUUUUUAACCAAAAAUUUCUUGUAAAUAUAUUUAUCAAUAGUCACUUAUUAAAGCCUCUUUUGAAAUUGAUUUUGGGUCUCCUAGAAUCACUUUUACAAUUUUACCAUAAUUUAUUUCCUAAUAAUUUGUUUAAUAAAAUAAAUAAAAGUUAUUCUUGAACUAUAAUUCUUGAGCAAUGUUAUGAUACAACCAAUCUUUCAUAUUUUGUGAAAUGACAUAACAAUGAAUGGUAGCCAUAUUAUAUCAUUAUGUUGACAUGAUACAAUUGUGUGUGUGUGUGUGAUGAUGUAUAGUUUUAGAGUUAUGAUGAUGAUUAUACUUCUGUUGUAAUCGCUUAUAACUCUCCCCUUUUAUACCAAUUUUUUGACAUAGUGGAUCUUCUUCUCCUCUGCCAAUAGUUUUUCCCAUUUAAGAUUUUUUACGUAAAUAUAUGUGUUCUUAUUCUAUUUAUUAUUAUUAUUAUUAUUAUUGUCUAUUCUCAUUAUUUCGUAACAUACAUUAAUGUACAUCUUUUUGUAGCGAUUUGAACCACAUUGAUAGCAUAGUUUUAAGAAGAUUAAAGAUAACCUUUUGUAAGUAAUUUUCAAGCAUUAGAGUAUUUUAAUUUACUUCGAUUAUUAUGUCUUCAAAUAAUUCUCUUUCAAAAUUUCCUUACAUAUUUCUUUUUUCUUGUCCUCUCCAAAACUUUUUUUUUGGAACCUAUAUUUUAUACCAUACAUUAUAAAAUAAAAAUGAAAAAACUAUUGUUACAAAUGUAUUUGUUUAAAUUUAAUUAAAAAUAUACAAAAUGAUAAAAUUCCUUAAAAAAUUUAAAAUGAAAAUACUAAGAAUUAAUUUGUUGAUGUCAAAGUCUCUCUUCAUUUCUUCCUUUGCCUCUUGAACUUGCUUCCUUCAACCUCCAGAACUCCCCUAUUGCCUUGAGACGAGAUUUGCAGCUCAUGGUAGGGAGGAGGGGGGCGGGGUGGGGUUCCCAACGUUGGGAGGGUGUUGUCAGGGAGAUGACGAGAUUUGCAGCGUUUUGGGGGUCAGUGGAGGGAAGGGAGGGCUCUUUUCAGCUCGCUGUGGGUAAAGGGGUGGGUUGGGUCUGGGCUCCCACCUUCGAGGGGUGCUAUUGAAGGGAUGACGCUCCAGGCGAUAGUGGAGGUACCAACUGCAUGGGGAAUGGGGAAAGGGAAAGGAAAAUGAGUUGCUCGGUUCGAAUGAAACCAAUCGGUUUGUCCAAUUCAUCGAUCAAACUGUCGAUUCAAGCAGUCUAAUUCCGAUUGGAUCGCUUUCUGGUCUAAUUAGCCAGAUCGAAUCGGAAUUGUGACCGGCCGAUAGUCGAACCAGUCGGUCCAGUCCAAUUUUUAAAACCAUGUUAGAAAGAAUAAAAACACUUCUUAUAAUCACUUUCAAACGUACUCUAAGAGUCCAUUUGAUAAUGCUUCUAGUCAAAGUGUUUUUACUAGAAGUGUUUUCUUUUAUAGUGCUUCUAUGAAAAACAAUUUUAUGAGAAUUUGGAAAAAGGGUUCUAAUAAUAUUUUUGACUAUAUUGUAUGAGUACAAAAGCAUUUUUAAUAUUAAUAAAUUACCAAAAAAGACAUACAAUUUAAAAAAUGAUUAUAAUUGCUUCAUUACAAAAGCAUUGCCAACAAAUUUUUAAGUAAAAAGUUAGAUUUUUGGAAAAGAGAAUCAUAACUUUGAGGAUGAAAAUAUGAAAUUUUUUAAGAAAAUUUGAGAAAUUAGAAAAUGGUAUUUUUUUUUUUCCCUUUAUUUAUUUUUCUAUAAUCUAGGCACAGGUUGCAUCACUCGAGUACAACCACUCCUUAUGCUUCACUUUUCCUUUUUCUUGCGACUACUUUGGCUUUCUUUAGAGUGGGCAGUUUCUUCUUCUCCAUUCUAAUUUUCCUUCUUCAAAUUUUAUCACCACACUAUCGCUAACCUUCAAGCCUGACCAUAGGUUGCACCAUCAUAGCCUCACUUCAACCACAACUAUGGCAGCCACGCAUUGGCAUCUUUCUCCUACUAGUCACCCCACCAUCUUCAUGGUCGCUCACGCUAUCGAUUUUCUCCUCGUUGUUGUCCCCGUAAUGUUCAUCACCACCUUCAUUUAUCUCAAAUCUAUCGCACCACAGGCAACCUCUCCACGAACACCAUUAUGCAUUAGUAAUGGAACUACGCAGUCAAAUCACCACGACAAUGCAGCAAACCAUCCUCAACCAUACCAGUCUCAUGCCUCCAUCUCCACUACUAACCCACACAUAUCCCUACAUACCACCAAUUACCUCCAUCACUAUUCCUCAUUUGCUUUCUCCCUCCAUUUGACAUCACCAUUGAGCCUCUUAUAACCAACCAUUCAAGUCAAUGAAACAUUAACAAAAAGAAAAAUGAAGAAAAAAAAAAUGGAAAUUAUAGAGUUCAACCAUGUUGAAUAAGAGUGAUGAGAGCCUUUGGACUAUAGAGUCUCUACUCAGAUGGAGAAAGUAGGAGGAAGAGGAUAGUGAAGAAAGAAUAUAAGAGUGAAAGAGAAAGGGAGGGUAUCUAGCAAUACUUGGGAUAUUUUAGGAAUAUUUGAACAUUUUUAAAAUAUUUUUUUCAAAGGAAACACCUUCCAAGCGUUUUUCUAAAAAUCACUUCUAAGUAUUUUUAAAAUAUUGGCAAACACCUCUUUUUCACCUUAAAAACACUUUUAAGUAUUUUUAGCACUAAAAACACCUGUAAAAAGUACUACCAAAUAUGCUCUAUGUAAAUUGAUCAUCAGGGAGAUGGAAAAUGGUGUUUGAAUUAGGUGUUUAAAGCAAGACAACAAUUAAGUAAAACAUAAAAAGAAGCGAUAUGCAAACUCUUUUAUAUUAGUUUGGUAAUAUGUCUACAUCUACUCUUCUCAACUACCUAACUGAGUGAAGAUUAAUCAAGGUUUAUAACCCAAGUCUUCAAGCUUUACAAUUGGAUACACGGGCUCCAAUGGACACUUACAAUCCCUUCAAGUACUCCACCUACUUAAUGUCUCUUCACUCAAAAUGAGUAAAUAAGGAAUGUUUUAAUGUUUCCAAUCCUAGAUAUAAGUUUGGCUCACAAUAUAAGUGCACUAUUGGGAUUUGCAAAUAUGAAAUCAAUGCACUUAGAUGAAGAGCUUGAGUAAGAGAAAGAAGGUUUUUCUAAUUGAAUAUAGUAGUUUUCAUAUUUAUAAAUGUUUUAAGACUCUUCACUUUAUAGGUUUUUAGCUUGGAAACCCAAAAAUUCAUAAAAAAAAAAAAACCCUCGAUUGAUCUAUCACCGAUUGCCUAGUCAUUAGGCAUUAAAUGGUCUACAAGUGAUCAUUGGGGUUUCUAAUAUUAAUUGAAGGUGCGACCGAUCCUUACUGCACCACAAUCAAUUGAGCUUAACCGAUUGAGCUAGUUUCCCUACCAGUUCAACUGGUGCUAGGCUCCCUUAAUUAGUUGUACUUUAAAGUGCCUAAAAGGACUUGAUUUGAGGUCUCAAACUCCCAAUUACUAGUGUAAUCCUUCUUAAAACCUUUAGAGUAAGUUUAGAAAGAGUUUGGCUUAAGGUUUUGAAUUAAAACAAAGAUUCAUCCAUUUUCUUGAUAAAAACAAAGCUUUUAAGCUUAUAUGAGGAUGCAAACAAACUUUUAAAUGCAUGAAAAACAUUUUAAACCUAAGUGCACCAACAAAUACCAUCUUACAGAUUGCCCUAUGUCACUUUAAGUCUUCAAGAGUUCUAAGUCUUCAUGAUAUUGACUUUCUUUGAUAGUUAAUGCUUGAGCUUUCUUUAGAUUUUUUCAUUUGAACCUGAAAAUACCACUUCGAUUUGAGUCAUUAGUAAACUUAACCUUGUUUUAUAAUCAUUGAAACUUGGGUACAAGAACCUUUAGGCUAACAAGCUUUCCCUUUUUUAUGAUGACAAAAGUAGGCUAUCUAAGGAGGUGACUCUUUCUCAAUAAAUGCAUGAAGAACAAGUAAAUAAAGCUCAGAUAUACUCAAAAUAAAUGGAAAAUUAAAAGAAAUCUACAUAAGUGCAAGAUCAUCCAUUCAACAUUCAUCCAACUAAGGAGAUCAAGUACCAAUGGAUAUAAAUAACAUAAAUUACAUAUGAAUAGCAUGAAGUAUAUUAGAGAUAAUCAUAAAAUCCAAAGAAAUAUCCAAAAUAUCCAUGAGUGAACUUGAAAAUGAAGCAUAUCUAAACAUAUAUAUCCAUAAAAUAAAAAAAAACAACCAAUAGGGGAUUGACUAAGCAUGUUCAAAACACUCCUAACUCCCUAAAUAUGCCUAUGUAUGUAAAUAUAUCUCCCUUUUUGGAAACAUAAAAAAUAAAAAAUAAAAAAUAAAAUGGGGCAAACACUAUAGGGUAAGCUUAACGCUAGGAAGGUGGAGGUUGAAAGAAGGUGGAGGUUGAAAGAGGGAGUAGAGGUGUGCCAUCAUCUCCUCAUUCUAAGUAGCAAAGGCUAGAGGCUACUUGGUGUUGAUCUAGCUUUAUUGUGAAGGCUUUCUUAAACUAAUCAAGCUAAGUAGUUGUCCAUGCAAUCCUCAAUAGAAUAGAAUUGAGAAUCAAUAAUCAUAGUCAACUCCAUCUGUGUACCAAGAGAACUAAUCUAGCAAAAAAAAAAAAAUCUACCCAAUAUGCUACUCAACUCAUAGAGACUCAUAGGAAGUGGAAAACUUAACAAUAGGAGGUGUAGGCACCUCGGUAAAAGUCUCCUCAAUAGGUAUAUCUGUCUUAGGUUGACAAGUUUGGAAUGAAAUGUCUGAUUUCCUUACCCUUGAUCUCAUCAUCCCGCUAAAUCCUCACAUCAUGAGAUUUAACUUGGGAACAUCUAGAUCACAAGUAUGAAACUUUUAACCUCUAGAUUUAUAUUCUAUUAUGGUUUUGAUAGCCAUUAUUUUCCAUUGCAUUAGAUUUAGAAAGCCCUAAGGAUAGAUAGCAUGCACCUUACGAGAUUCAAGGACAGGGAAUAGAAGAAUUAGAGGUUCCAAUAGUAGUAUCUUAAGAAACAUUCAUAUUUUAACAUAAAUUUUGCUUCAUAUAAAGCUAACACAACAACUUUGGUAAAACAAACUUUGGUAUGCUUUAGGACUUGAUGGAUCAUAUACACCAAUUCAUAUGGCCUUUUUGUAUUUUCCUUUUUUCACUCUCUCACCCUUUUUAUCUGUCUUGAAGAUUGUUAUGAGAGUUUAUUCAUUCCCUUGUCAAAUAGGACUAGUUGGUAAGUUUUUAACUUCUUAUUUUUAUAUCAUUAAUUAAUUGUGUUCAUUUUGUUUGUGUAUUAUUUGUUACAAAUCCAACUCUAGGAUCAAGACUUCAUUGAACUCUUAUCAACAAGGGCAAUGAUUAAUUAAAAAAUUCUCGAAGUCAUGGAAAGACAGAUUUCACACAUUCUACAAAGUAGAUUUCUAUCUAGCAAGAUAUUGAGCAAUAGAUCUUCAUGGGAUAUUGACAAAAAAAAUUAUCGAUAGAUCAUUUUUCCAUGUUUGGGAUAUGCUUUGUUAUAAUCACAAAUUAUGAAAUGUUUCAUGCAUUGAAAUUUAGCUUAUGUUCAUUAUUUUUUUUAAUCUCCUCUUAUAGAAUGAUAUAUUUUAAUUUCAUUAUAUUCUAGUUUUUUGUUAAUAUUUAAAAUAUAAAAAUAUAAUCACAUUUGACAAUGGGUCCACCUUAAAAUUUGAAUAUUUGAUAUGUUUUCAUCUUCAGGAAAUGCACAUGAUAAUAUAUAUAUAUAUAUAUAUAUAGAUGACAUUUAAAACUACAAUUGUGAAAAAUGACUAAUUAAAUUAAGUGAAUCACCCAAGAAAGGGGGUGGGGGAGGGGUUGUUGAAUUGGGUGUUAUAAACUUUUUGAAAAUAUUCAACCAAACACAAAAAGAAGAGUAAUUAAUAAGCAAGAUAAUAGUUAAGUAAAGGAUAGGCAGAAGAAAAGUGCAAACUCUAUUUAUAGUGGGCACUUACAAUCCCUUCAAGUACUCCACCUACUUGAAGUCUAUUCACUCAAAAUGAAUAGAUAAGGAAGUUUUUAAUGCAUCCAAUCUUAGAACAAACAUAGCUCACAAUACAAGAGAAAGCUUAGAUGGAUUUUGAGGUGCACUCAAGAAUAUGACAGUGGGAAAUAAAUGUACUUUGAAUGUGAGAAAAGAAAGGUUUUUCAAUUGAUUGCAAUUAUUCUCAUGUUAAUAAAUGUAGUAGGUCUCUUCAAUUUAUAGGUUUUCAACUUGGGAACCCAAAAAAUACAAAACGCCCUUAACCGGUUGAACUCCAAUUUGAUGGAUGGACUACUAGUGGAACAUUAAAUGCUUUGAAUGUGACCAUAUAUAUAUAAGAAAAUGCUUAUUGAAAAUUAGUCAUAAUUGCAUCAAAAUGAUUAUGAAAAGUAGUCAUUAUAAAAGACAGAUGAAAGUGGAAAGUAGCUAUGAUUAAGAGAAGAUGACCAAUACAGAAAGUCAUUGUUGGCAUGUGAAAAUGGUCGACAAAAGACUCCCAAAGGAUGAUUGCAAGAAAGGCGAUCACCAUUUAGAACGGAUAUCUUUGGUGAAAGAUGACUGGUCUCCCUAUCAUCUUCUCUUUUUCUGGUCGUAGGGAAUUGUCACACAAAAAGCAAAAGAAAAAAAAAAACAACGUAAUCCUUUUAGAUAGGAGGAACUUUAUGGAGAUAAACCCGAACAUAACAUCCACGUCAUUAACAUUACACUACAGCGAUACGCACUUAAGGUAAAAUGUUGAAGAAAAUGCUUCUAGUAUUGGGUGCAAUAAUAACAAAAUUAAGUGCACUCAUGUUGUACUAUUAUAAAUGUAAGACUUGGCGAAAAACAUGUAGACAGCCAAUCCUAUUGCAGUGACUCCAGCAAGUAGCCAAUAAAAGUAAUCAAGAUGUGCCCGAUUGAGAUUGUCACUAAACCAGCUAUCUCGUCCAUCCCCACUAGUUAUUUUCCCAAUGACAGAGAUCAGAGAGGUGCUCAGCAACCUCCCCAAGCCAACGAUACUUAGUUGGAGGGACACGCCAACACUCCUCAAUUCACUAGGGAUCUGGUCACAGAAAAACUCCUGAAUUCCAACAUUGGUGAAUGAGUCAGAAAUUCCUAAGAAAAUAAAUUGGGGAAUCAACCACCACACCUUCAUAGGAAGAGUCGUCUUUGGCAUAUCAAGCAGCUCAUAUUCUUCAGCAGUUUUCAGACGUUUCAACUCAACUAGGGCUGCAAUUACCAUGGUAAUGGCAAUUAAAAAUAUCCCAAUUCCGAUUCUCUGAAGCAUUGUUAUGCCAGAUGGUUUUCUGGUUAAAGAUCUAGCAAUCGGGACAAAUAUGCGGUCGUAUAUAGGAAUGAAGAUGAGAACCGUGAGGGCCCUAAAAAAUUGAAGUGAAGCUGCUGGUAUGUGAAAGCCUGAACCUAUUGAUCUAUCUAGUGUAGUUCCUUGCUUGGUAAACAAAGUGGGUGGCUGUGCAAGCACAAUACCAUACCCCAAACAUGUGGCCCAUAUGGGAAACAGCCUUAGUACUGCCUUUGCUUCUUCAACAUCACUGAGGCUACAUGCCUUUCCUUUUUCCCCAGACCCCCCUGGCAGAAGCAAUGCCUUGUUGAGAAACCUGCCAUAGAAAAGAGACCAAAGUCUGAUAUAAAUUUAGAACCAUUUUGAUGAGAAGAUUUAAAGGCAAUCUUUAGAGCCCUGGAAGUUAGAAAUCUGACAAAGGCCUUGAAUUUUCAAAUCUCUUUCAUGAGAAAUAUGAUUAUUAUUUUUUUUCCCUAUUUGAGUCCUAUGCACUGAAAUAUAUAGAAAGUUGUUGCCUACUUGAACUGGUUUGAACCUUGGUAAGGGGGAAGGUUUUCUGUAGCUUCCACUGGAGGGGUUGUCUUCCAAUUCUUGGCUGCUGCAACAAAAACCCGACCAAUUCUCACAAAUGGGCUUCUCUCAUUCUUUUUUAUACUAUACCUAUAAGUCCUAGUCCCGAACAAGAAAAUGAGCAGCCCCAACACCAUGAAAAGGCAAGAGAUUCCAAAUCCAAGAAUCCAACUAACGUUGUCUUCAAUGUAGCUCAUAAUCAAGUAACUUACUGAAACACCACCAGCCAGACCAAAAAACCACCAGUUGAAGAAUGAGCUUUUGGCUUUGCAUUCCUCUUGAUCUCGUUGGUCGAAUUGCUCAGCUCCAAAUGCUUGGAGGCAAGGCUUGAGCCCACCUUGCCCAAUUGCUACUACAUACAAUGAGAAAAAGAAGAAGACUACUUGGAGCUGAGAAGGAGAGCAGGACGUUGUUUUGUUGCUGUUUUUGCAGUUGGAAGAGCUCCCAGAAGUAAACACAGAAGACACAGUCAAUAAGCCUAGUCCCUGUACUCCAUUCCAAUAGAAAUCAAAGAUAAUUGUCAACCCUGAUAUAUAGUGUUGAUUAAUUUCCUGAACCCUUCUCAUACAUAUGAUGCAAUUAACUUCAUAAUGUAUUCAUGCAAUCCAGUUCUUUGUUUUUAUUCAUAUGAUUCACCCUCCAAAACCUGGAACAAACCAGGAAUUUGGUGCGUACCAACUCCAGAAUAAGGCCGGUCAAUGAUUCGGUUCACAUUUUGAGACGGAUCAUGAGUUGAAUCAGGCGACUGAACUCAAAACAGAGGACCCAUUCCCUGGGAAUCCAACCGAGUCGCUUUUGUGCAAAAAGAGAAUAUGGGAUGCUAGGCGGACUCAUAUUAUAUAUGUCAUACAAGAACGAGAAUAUGGGAUGUGAUGAAUUAUAAGGUUUCCGGUCACCUUCUGAAAUGCCCCAAGAUCUAGAUGGGUUAUUUCACUAGCCAAAUUCAUUACCCCAAGUCAUAAAUGAAACUUGAAACUACGAAUAUAAAAACCUUUCGUUUCUCAUACCAGAAGAGCCUUAACCUUGAAUUGUAUUAUUUAUUGUUUAUUUCAAGGGAGAAAAGAAAAUGCAUUCUUCGUUUUCGUUUUUUAAUAAAGAAGAGAAAACAUAAUUUUUUUUUAGGGAGAGAUAAGAGAGACUUAUGAGAGAGAGAAAAUAAAAAAUAAAAAAUCUUUUUUAUUUAUUUUUAAUAAUGGUAGUUUAUGGGUAGUUUUAAAACUCUCAAAAACUGUUCCUCUAUUUUCUCAUUUAUUUGGGUUAGGUCUAGUCAACCCACUUGGGCACCCAAACCCAACUCCAAGAGGAUGUUAGGCAGAUUCGUAUUAUAUAUGUUACGCAAGAACGAGAAUAGACCAAAAAAAAAAAAUAGAAUAAGAACACAUAAAUUUACAUGAAAAAUCUUAAGAAAAACCCGGAAUAGAGAAAAAUGAAAUCCACUAUAUAAAAAUAUUGGUACAAAAGAGGAAAGUUACGAGUGGCUACUGCAUAUAAUCAUCAUAACAACCGUUUGAUCCCUCCACUAUCACCAUAGAUUCUCAAAAAAAAAAAAAAUCUCACAAUUAUAAAUUCACCAUAUAUUUCAUACCGCUAGCUUUUCGCAUCAAACUUUUCGGAUCAAAUUAAAUAAAAUUUGAAUCACCAAACUCUAUCAGUAUGGUUGCACUACCAUGUAAAUUACAUACAUACACUUCUCAAAAACUUAAAAAUAAUCUUUAAUAUUGUUCCCUAUGAUUGAAGAUAACAAAUAUAAAAGUAAUAUGAAUAAAAAAAAAUCAUAAAUUUUGAGAUUGCAAAAGGUUAGAAUAUAUAACUGUUAACAUUUAAACAAUAAAAUUUAUUUUAUCUUAAACGGUUAUAAAUUAUUAUUAUUUUUAUCAUUUAAUAAAAUUAUAAAUAUUAAUAAUCUAUUAAAUUUAUAUUUUAUUCUUAUCAAUAUUUAAUUAAUUUAUUAAUGUAUAUAUGUUUAAGGUUCUAAAUUAUUUAUAUAUUUAUUAACCUUUUUUUUAUAUACUUAUGAUAUCAUGGUGUGAUCAUCAAAUUGCCAAUCCAAUCAAUGAAUCGUGGCCUAAUAACUUUUUCAAUUGAGUGAACUAUAGGAUUUUUGAAACAUAAAGCUCAGUGCAAGAAGCAACUAAUUGCGGGAUAAAUUCUAAAGACUAACCAGGAUGUAGGUAAGAGAAGCAAUAACAAUGGUGCGAUAUUGACCAAGAUAAGAGUCUGCAAUGGCAGCUCCUAAGAGAGGCAAUAAAGUCGCAGUCCCGGACCAUGUAUUCACGUUGGCAGCUGCAGCGGCGGUGGACUCCCCUAGCCAUCCGGUGAGGUAGUUUAUAAGGUUGGUUUCUAUACCUUUGAAAGCAAACCUGUCCACAACUGCCAUGCCUGUAAAAAUACAUUUAGGGUCAUAUUUAUGACAUAAUUUGUCCAUAUGAUAAACUAUUUACGUGUAAAUUUUUCUUUAACUACUUCAUUUCGUACCUAUGAUGAAAUACGCAGAUUUCCAGGCACCUGAGAAGGAUCUCUUGGCUGGGUCUCCUUUGUGGUCGACGGCACCAUCUACAGUGUCGUCCAAAGUUGGAGCCUCCGAGAUGAGACAGCUAUCCAUGUGUUCGCCAAGCCAAAGCUCACCACACAAAGGAUAUGUCUUGGUAUAUAUGCAGGCUUCUCUGUUUGCGGGUAAUGUUCGUUGGGUGUACUCCAAUUCAUAGUUGUGCUUCAUGAUUCACUACGCACAAGUCACCACCACCACAUAGGAAUUCUCUUUUCUGAUGUGGUCCUAGUGCACAACUUUUGCUAUUUUCUAUUAUUUUUUCAAGUUCUGAGCAUAGAAUUAAUGGCUAUGAGAAUUUGAUUUGGGAUCGAAAGUGAUAGAAUUUGAUUUUGGAUAGUGAUGCUAGCUGCACCAUCACCCUUUAAACAAGAUGUAGAAAUAAUAUUAAUAUUUUAUUUUAUUUCUAUGUAAUGAUGAUUUCAAGUAUCAUGUACUAAAUAUUAAUACUGUUGUGAAUUUUGACUCUUCUAAUAGUAUCAUAAACUAUCUUAGAAUCUCCUUCCAUUAGGCCAUGUUUGGUUUAUGGAAACGAAAAUGUAAGAGAAAGAAAAUAUAAAAAAAUAAAAAAUAAAUUAAAAGUUUAUAAAUUAUUUUUGUAUCUUGCUUCAAACUUAUUUUACUUAUUUAACUAUUAUUAAAUAAUUUAAAUAUAUAUAAAUUUCUUAUUAAUUUUAAUUAUAUUUUAUUUUCUUUCGAUAAGAGAUCUCAUUACUAAUCAACUUGGCUCUCAUACCACUUGUUAGGGUGAAUUCACAAUAUUCCAACAAACACUAAAAUUUUUCUACCCUUUCUUUGUGCAAAAUUAAAUAGGUAAUAGCAACUAGUAGUAAUAAAUAAAUAAACUCAUGUAAUAAAAAAAUAAAUCAGACACCAUAAUUUUUACAUGGAAAACCCCCCAAUGCGAUGGGAAAAACCACUGGAUCUAGUCCAGUUAAAACAUCCACUAUCAAUAAUAAUAAGUUACACUUGUCUUCUCUAGAAUAAUCUCUAAAGGCUGUCAAAUACAUCAAGAGCACAUAUAACCUUAGAUUAUAUAAUCUCUCAUGGCAAAAGACACAGAAAAAUUGGAGAAAAUAUACCCAAAAAAAUGUUGUUACUGUUCAUGGGCAAUAACACCAGUUCUCAAGCUCAAAAUCUGAUCUCCACCGUUCAGAUUGUAACUAUUCGAGUUUCAAACCUCUCCUCCAAAUUUCAACUCGAUCGGACCACGGAUGAAGUAGGAUCGGCUUAUUGAUGAAAUCUAGACAAAUGUGUUUUUUUCUCUUUCUUCUCUUCUCUCUGUUUUUCUUUUUUCCCAAUCUCCUUUUUUUUUUUUUUUAAUGUAACUGACUUGGGCCCCAAGCAUAUAGGGCCCACUCCCUCACAUACGAGGGAGCCCGACACUUUUUAAUCAUUAUUCAUUAUUCAUAUUUAUAUAAUUAUUUUUUAAAACAAUUUUCAAAAAACGAAUUGAAAUAAUUAAAAAUAAUUAAAAUAUAUUAUCUGAAAAUACUAUUUUUUGUUGUUUAAAACAAAAAAUAGUUUUCUAUUUUGUGAUUAUCAAAUGUGUUUUUCUAUUUUAUUUGUUCUAAAAAAUAAAAAACUAUUUUCGAAAACAGUUACCAGAUCUUAAGUUAUUUUGUCAAACAUGUUUAAUCUAUGUAAUAACUUGAAUUAAAUUGAUGUAUAAAGUUGAUUUACUAAACACCCUCUUAAUCUUCGUAAAAAAUUCCACUUUAAAAACCCAAAUUGCACCCCGAAAUAAUUGUUCUCAUCACUUCUAUCAUAUUUUCUUUUUGUAUUAAAAAUGUGGUUAGUAUAGGUUAAAGUUAUGUUUAGUAACCAGGAAAUUUUGAGGGAAAAUGAAAAUAUAAAUAAAAAAAAUAGAAGGAAGGGAAAAAAAUUAUAUUAUAUUUAAAAUCAAACAUUAAAAAGCCCACUAUAUCCAUUCACACGAAAGAAAAAACACAUACAAAUAAUAUGAAAUAUUUGAAUUUUACAACAGAGAUCAUCUAAUAUAACAAUUUGCAUUUACUAUAUUCUAUAUUGGUGGAACAAUAAUAAUAAAAAUGAAGGAAGCUUACGUUGUAUUUCCCCUAUUAUAAAUAUAGGAUUUUGCAAAAUACAAGUAGGUAGCCAACCCAACUGCACUGAGCCCGGCCAGCAGCCAGUAGAAGUAAUCAAGAUGUGCCUGAUUAAGAUUAUCAUUGAACCAGCUACCUUGGCCAUCUCCAUUAGUUGUUUUGUCGAUGACAGAGAUGAGAAAACUGCUCAGGAAGUUCCCUACACCGAAGAUACUGAGGUAGAGGGCGAGGCCGACACUCCUUAAUUCAUUUGGGACCUGAUCAUAGAAAAACUCCUGCAGACCAACCAUGGUGAACACGUCCGAAACUCCAAACAAGAUGUAUUGGGGAAUCAACCAGCACACGCUCAUUGGAACCGUCACCUUUGGCAUAUCAAUCAAUCCGUAUUCUUCAGCGGUUUUGAGCCGUUUCAUCUCAACCAGGGCUGCAAUUACCAUGGAGAUGCAAGAUAAGAAAAUCCCAGUUCCGAUCCUCUGAAGCAUUGUUAUGCCAGAUGGUUUCCUGGUUAAUGAUCUUGCAAUGGGAACAAAAAUGCGAUCGUAUAUGGGGAUGAAGAUGAUAAUGGCAAGGGUGAUAAAGGACUGAAGUGAAGCUGCUGGUAUCACAAACCCUGAUCCGAGUGAUCGAUCCAUAGUAAUUCCUUGCUUGGUAAAGAAAGUCGAUGACUGUGCAAACACAAUAGCGUAGGCCAAACACGUAGCCCAUAUGGGAAAGAGCCUCAGAACCGCCUUUGCUUCUUCAACAUCACUGACACUACACACCUUGCCAUUGUCCUUGGAACCAUCCGGUGCAAGCAAGGCCUUGUUAAGAAACCUAUAACAAGAGUUAGGGUCACAUUAUACUAUGUUAGAUGGGUUCCAAUAUGCUUUGUGGACAUCUUGAUGGCAUUGAAUUCGAAAUAAUUUUCCCUGAGAACUAUGUGUUUGCCUACCUUUUUUAAAUAUCAGUGCAGAAACUCAUAUCUCUUACCUGAACUGCAGAGAACCUUGGUGAGGUAGGGUUCCUCGAGCUACCUCUUCAAAAUUUAGAGACGAAUCAGUUGUCCUCCAAUUUCUAGCUGCUGCAACAAACACCUGACCAAUCCUCACAAAUGGGCUUUUCUCAUCUCCAUUGACACUAUACCGGUAUGUCUUGGUCCCAAGCAAGAAAACAAGUAGUGCAAUCACCAUGGCAAUACAGGGGAUUCCAAAUCCAAGACCCCAAUUCAGGUUGUCUUGAAUGUAGUUCAAGAUGAAGAGAGUUAUUAGAGUACCAAAGCACAUAGAGAAGUACCACCAGUUGAAGAAUGAGCUUUUGGAUUUGCCCUCCACUGGAUCUUGUCCAUCAAACUGGUCAGCUCCAAAAGCCUGGACACAGGGCUUGUGCCCACCUUGCCCAACUGCUACAAGAUAUAGAGCGAAAAAGAAGAGGAUUACUUGUAGCUGAGGAGGAGAACAAGAAGCGAUUUCAUCAUUUUUUUGGCAUUCAGAAGGGCUCGCAGAAGGAAGCACAGCAGAUACUGCUAACAAGCCUAGCCCCUGUGGUUCACAGAAUCAAAGUUGAAGAUGAUUAUCACUAAAUUAUGACAGCAACUUAGAAUACUAUGUCAAAAAGCACUCAAAACAAUUUCCAAAAAUCAAAACUGACAUUUUCCAGACAUUCUUUACAAGGAAGAGUUUUAUAUGCAUCUUUAAGCAUAUUAGUCUCACGGUGGGUUCUUCCAAUAAUAGAGCAUGGCGUGUAUAAACCAGACUCACUCUUUUGAGUAGCUGAACAAACCAGCUGUCUUCUAAACGCAUUCUCUGAAAAUCACCCACAAAUUGGAAGCAACUUUUGUUGCAACAAGAGCCUAAUGGUCAAGGUCUGGCUGUCAUUAAUGUAAUACUUGAUCUCCUUAAGCAUAAACUAUGGAAAUCAGAGAAAAAGUGACUAAAAAACUAAUCAUAUAAUCCAGAUAAUUUAUAUGUCUAACCUGUGAUGGGGCUAUGUAAAUUCAUGAGCAAUUCUGUAAAAUCCACCACUCUCACAACUCAACCAAAAUCCAUCCCUGUUGCAUCAUGACCCAUUAUUUUAACACAACUUAAAAUAUUUAAAAAACAAACAAAUAACAAAUAAAGACAAGGCAAUAUAUUGCCACUUUGCAUCAGUGUCUUCCCUAUGAGGUUAAGAAAGUGCAGUAUAGCCAAGGAACCCCCAUAACCUACAAGGCCAAAUCAUUCUCACUCUGCUCGAUCUUCUUUGCCCCCUUAUAUGUUAGGGUACUAAGAACCAUUUUUCGUGCAUUCCACAAAAUUAUCCUUUGAGAAGUAGCUAAAAUCCAUCAAAUCUUAUAAAGGAACAAUAAUGACUUACCAAUAACUAACCCCCAAUGACCAGUUCGAUAGUAAAACAAACAAACACCUUCUUAAGCAUGCAAUUUUUUAUUUUCCAUGUAAGCCCUCUAUAUGAAUAACUCAUCGUCCACUCUAAUCCUAGCCAAACUAACCACCACCCAGAUCUUGGUCAAAGCAGACAGUUCGAGUUGAUUUCUUAAUUAAUAAGCAUCCUUGACGUCUGCACGACUUGUUAACCCAAUCACACAAUUUAAAGUCUCUCUUCCUUAACCAGAAAACAGUCAAUAUUUCCCACAAACAAUUCAUCCAACACUCUGCAACAUCAACAGUAGAAUAAUCGCCAACCCUCAAAAUGGUAACCCACCAAAUUCCUUGCAUGAUCCCCUGAGCCCCUGAGACUUCCUCAUGACUCUACUACACUGAAGGGAGCUGUAACGUCAUACUCAAGAACAUUUCAUAAAAAACCAUCUCCAUCUAAAAGAGUAGCAUUUUUUUUCUCAAAUCUCGAUACGAUAGAUACUAGAAAAGCAUCACCCAUAAAGGCAUCAUUUCUUAAAUAUCUUUCAUCAUGUAGUUAGCGGCCAUAAUCCUUCUGAAAGAACUAGUCCUGAUUUUACUUAUCAGCCAACCAACAAUUUUCAAUUUUGAAAAACAGCUUUUCCCAAUCCAAUUGUGUUGAAAAUUCAUUACUCCUUCAAGCAUCUAUGACUCCCCUUGAACCAAACCAGCUUCUGAUCAUGGAAAAGUAGAAACUUCAAUUGAACCAAACCAAAGCACCCAUUUAAUGUUUUGAAAUUUAUUUCAAUUAGCAGAAUAUUUCCAUUUUCACAGGAUAAGGAUUUGGUACCAUACCGAUACCAUAAUCAACCUUCAAAAUAUUUACCAUGUUCAAAAAUGUGAUACAAAAGGGGGAAAAGACCAUUAAAAUUAACUCAUAAAUCAACAUGAUUUAGACCCCUUAGCUAAUAGUGCCCCAAAUAUUGACUCCUAGCUAAAAUGAUUGAUUAAAUCCCAUUAGGGAAUUCCAACUCUUGGGUUGGUUCUCUCAAAAAUCAUUUCAUGCUACACUUGGUAAUCCCACAUUAAUUACAAUAAAAUAAAUUAACUUUGUGAGAUAAUUACAAUUAAGUAUCACAAAAUAGGAAGAAGAAAAAAACUCUAAAUCUCAAAUUUCCCAAGAAUAAAAAUUAAAUUUUGGAAAAUAAUGGCAAUAAUUACAAUUGAGUACUUAAAAAUGGUUUGACAAAAAUUCAAAAUCUUAACAUCUUCCAAAAAUGGACAUAUGAAAAGACAAAGAUGAUAAGAGAGAAACAAAACAAAAAAGAGUCCACCACAAUAUAACAACACAUAUAGAAUUUUUUUUUUUUUUUUCUAACAACACAUAUCUUAAAUCCAAACAUUGAAAUAAAAUUAGAAAAUUUUGAAACUUGACCCACUCUCUAAAUUAUUUCACCCAUCUUAAAUUAUGAUCAAGAAAUUAACUGCAUCAUUUGAAAUUAAGCGCUAAAAAUGGACCAAAAAAAAAGGAAAAAGAUUGGGAAAGAGAAACGAACCAGUAUGUAGAUAAGGGAAGCAACAAUGAUGGUGUAAUAGCGGCCGAGAUACGUGUCCGCCACAAAAGCUCCCAACAGCGGCAGCAACGUGGAGGUGCCGGACCAUGUGUUGACGUUGGCGGCGGCGGCGGCGGUAGACUGGCCCAGUGGCCCGAUAAGGAAGCUUAUGAGGUUGGACCCUAUGCCGUAGUAGGCGAACCUCUCCGCAACCUCGACUCCGAUGAUGAAGGACGCGGAUCGCCACCCGCCGGAGCUCGAUCUCCUCGCUGGACGGCCCUUGUGGUCGGCGAAACCGUCGACGGUGUCGUCAAGUAGUGGGGUCUCCGUGCCGCCGGAGAUCGAAGAGUAGGCCAUGGGUCGGCGAUCGACAGCCACAGAAUUUAGGAAUCUUCCGAGAGGAGAUUAUUAUCCUUUUAUUACACGAUUUCUGCAGUAGUUUUCUAGGACGAUGAAUGAUGUCGUAGGCUCUGACCUCCUGACUUCGACCCGCCUUUUAAUAAAUUAUUUUACCAUUUUAUCCUUCUUUUUUUCUUUUUCUUUUUUACUAUUUUUAAAAUAUACAUACUUUUCAUUGGUCAGAAAAGAAAAAAAAAGUGAAAAUGCUUUCGACAAAAAAUUAAAAACACAGGCUCUGACCUCCUGGCUUCGACCCGCCUUUUUAUAAAUUAUUUUACCAUUUUAUCCUUUUUUUUUUUUUUUCUUUUUUUUACUAUUUUUAAGAUAUGAUUAAAUAAAUAAUUUAUAAAAUAUACAUACUUUUCAUUGGUCAAAAAAGAAAAAAAAAAAAGCGAAAAUGCUUUGGACAAAAAAUUAAAAACACGUGGGUAAUUGAAUAUGUUACCAAAUUGUUGACAUUUUUUUUUUCUUUUUUCCUUUUUUUCUUUUUUUUUUCUCGGGUUCUAGUUUUGGAUUUUAAAUUUAUGGCUGAGAAAGUAGAUUUUAAAUUUUUUUUUUUUACAAGAAUAAAUGGGAGAAUUUAUUUUUCAGUUACAUCUAAUUCUUUCCUAUUUAUUAAUUUUUCAAAUGUUAAAUUUUAAAAUAUUUAGUGGUUGUAUAAUUACUUUAUUAUUAUUUUAUAAUUAUUUUUUACCAUUUCAUCCAUUCUUUUUGGCAUCCUCAAGAAAUACUUUGAAAUUUUGUAAAAUAUAAAUACUUCUUUCAUUCUCAAAGGGAAAAAAAUGUGAGAUGACAAACAUGUUUUCAGAAAAAUAAAAGAAAAAUUAGUAUUAAUUUUUGAGAGAUUUUUCGUUUUAUUAAUAUAAGCACUACCAUUAACUCUAAUUACUUCCUUUCACAUCAAAAUAGAUAAAAUUUAAUUUAUAAAAUAUUUUUUAAAGGAUUUUUCUCUUAAGUUUAUACGAAGCUUACCUAUCUUCUUAAUGCUUUUAAGUUAAAAAACAAAAAAUAAUUUUUAAAAACAAGUUUCAAAAAAAUAUGAUCAAACAAUUCUAUGUUUUCCCUUAUUUUUUAAAAUUUGUUUUCUAUUUUAUUUUGUUUUUAAACAUUAUUUCUAGAGAACAACAGUUAAAUAAUGUAAUGAAUUUUUAAAAUCAAAUUUUUGUUUUUAAAAACAAAAAACUAUUUAAAUUACUCUACCAAACAAUUUUGUUUUUAAAAUUAUUCUUCAUUUCACUUCAUUUUAAAAAAUUAUUUCUAAAGAACCAUGGUCAAAUAAUGUUAUGAAUUUUUAAAAACUAUUUUUUGCUUUUAAAAAUUAAAAAUUGUUUUUAAAUCACACCACCAACUCAUAACUUUUUUUUAACAAAAUUACCCUUUUAACAUAUUUUUAAUAAUUAUCUCGCUUAAACACUUCUUACAUAAAAAGAAUAAAAGUAAAAAUGUAAAAAUAAGGAUAAAUAUGUAAUUUUUAAUGUAUUGAAGUUAUUUUAAUGACUAUCAUCUUAUCAUUUUAAUAAAAUAUUUUAAAAAAUAAUGAGUAAAAAAGGAAUAUUAUCUCAUUAUUUUAAUAAAAUAUUUUAGAAAGCAAUGAGUACAAGAUUUUUCAUUAUUUGAAUUUAAGAAAAACAAUAAAAUAAACAAACAGCAAUAAUUACGAUAGUCAAGGUGUGGACCCCGCAUUUCGACUCGCUCAAUGCGUUUCCCACUCGAUGGCAAAACUCGAUUUUUAUUUGAAAAAAUUGAUUUUUAUUGAUUAUUUGAAAAUGACUUGGAGUCGCUACUUAUUUUUGUUUUAUUUUUAAAGGGUAAACAAAAUAAGAAAGAAAAACCCUAAGUGUGACUCCUUAUUUUGGAAAAGGUGAUCUACGAAAAACCGGAUCGGGUUCGGGGGUCAGGUUACUUAUCGGGAAGGUACGGUAAAGACCAUAGCACCCCUCUAAGUCCCUAAAGUCGGGUCUCUACUAAUGAGAUGAAGCUGACAUGGCAAUCAAUGAGAAAAUCAAUGAAUACUCGAAUCAAUCAUGCACAUAUGAGUAUCAGAAUAUGCAACAGAGGAUGACCAAAGUGAAAGUGGAUGCGUACCUGAUCAGCAAACGGCAACGCGCUAUCACAAAAUGGGAUUAGUGCAUAGUAAUGAGCAUAAAGUAUAUCACUCAUAUCAUCAAACCAGAUAAAGAAACACCAAUAACUUGCAUGACAUCUCAUUCAAAUUCAUUUUUAUUUUAAAGCAGAUUNNNNNNNNNNNNNNNNNNNNNNNNNNNNNNNNNNNNNNNNNNNNNNNNNNNNNNNNNNNNNNNNNNNNNNNNNNNNNNNNNNNNNNNNNNNNNNNNNNNNNNNNNNNNNNNNNNNNNNNNNNNNNNNNNNNNNNNNNNNNNNNNNNNNNNNNNNNNNNNNNNNNNNNNNNNNNNNNNNNNNNNNNNNNNNNNNNNNNNNNNNNNNNNNNNNNNNNNNNNNNNNNNNNNNNNNNNNNNNNNNNNNNNNNNNNNNNNNNNNNNNNNNNNNNNNNNNNNNNNNNNNNNNNNNNNNNNNNNNNNNNNNNNNNNNNNNNNNNNNNNNNNNNNNNNNNNNNNNNNNNNNNNNNNNNNNNNNNNNNNNNNNNNNNNNNNNNNNNNNNNNNNNNNNNNNNNNNNNNNNNNNNNNNNNNNNNNNNNNNNNNNNNNNNNNNNNNNNNNNNNNNNNNNNNNNNNNNNNNNNNNNNNNNNNNNNNNNNNNNNNNNNNNNNNNNNNNNNNNNNNNNNNNNNNNNNNNNNNNNNNNNNNNNNNNNNNNNNNNNNNNNNNNNNNNNNNNNNNNNNNNNNNNNNNNNNNNNNNNNNNNNNNNNNNNNNNNNNNNNNNNNNNNNNNNNNNNNNNNNNNNNNNNNNNNNNNNNNNNNNNNNNNNNNNNNNNNNNNNNNNNNNNNNNNNNNNNNNNNNNNNNNNNNNNNNNNNNNNNNNNNNNNNNNNNNNNNNNNNNNNNNNNNNNNNNNNNNNNNNNNNNNNNNNNNNNNNNNNNNNNNNNNNNNNNNNNNNNNNNNNNNNNNNNNNNNNNNNNNNNNNNNNNNNNNNNNNNNNNNNNNNNNNNNNNNNNNNNNNNNNNNNNNNNNNNNNNNNNNNNNNNNNNNNNNNNNNNNNNNNNNNNNNNNNNNNNNNNNNNNNNNNNNNNNNNNNNNNNNNNNNNNNNNNNNNNNNNNNNNNNNNNNNNNNNNNNNNNNNNNNNNNNNNNNNNNNNNNNNNNNNNNNNNNNNNNNNNNNNNNNNNNNNNNNNNNNNNNNNNNNNNNNNNNNNNNNNNNNNNNNNNNNNNNNNNNNNNNNNNNNNNNNNNNNNNNNNNNNNNNNNNNNNNNNNNNNNNNNNNNNNNNNNNNNNNNNNNNNNNNNNNNNNNNNNNNNNNNNNNNNNNNNNNNNNNNNNNNNNNNNNNNNNNNNNNNNNNNNNNNNNNNNNNNNNNNNNNNNNNNNNNNNNNNNNNNNNNNNNNNNNNNNNNNNNNNNNNNNNNNNNNNNNNNNNNNNNNNNNNNNNNNNNNNNNNNNNNNNNNNNNNNNNNNNNNNNNGAGUGCUCCACACUUUCUGUAAUCACUUCAAUAAGGCUUCAGUCAACAGUCAACUUGUUCAAGGUCAAUGUUCCUGUCUUGUCAUUGCAGAGAGCAUCCAUGCAUGCCAUUUCCUCAAUGGCCAUCAUUCUUUUAGUGAUUGUAUCCUGCUAAAAGACUUUCUUCGAGCACAAGAGUUCUCAUCACAAAAACGCCCAAAAAGGAUAUUGGGGCACUAAUGGGGUAUGUACCCACCACGACCUGGGUUUGGCAUAAGGUCCAGUAUAACUGCCUCCUCUGUAUCAUGCCCAGAAACUGAGAGAUUCCCAAGGCGAUGAACUCUUCAAGCUUGACUUUGAGGAUUCGAAUUUGAAAAUACAUCUAGAGGGGGUGGCACAACAAUCUCCCAUGGGGUAGCAUGUAGUUUCAAUGCGUAUGAAGUUUGAAUCAUGACGAAGAUCACAGUCUUCCAAGAAGGACUUCCUGAUUCGAUUUCCUGAACUACAACCCAUUUUGGUGAUCACCCUGCUCAACUCCAGCAGGAUAGAUGCAUGAACCAUCAGCAGUCAAGAGGCAAUACUAAUGCCCAGGUAUGGCAGUCACCAAUUCUGAGCAGAAUAAUUCAACAAUUCCCUGAGCAGUGAGUCAAUAAUGACCCAAACUCAGAAUAAAUGUCCACAUUCCAGAUUCAGCAGAAAUGGUGCAUCUAUAGACACAGUAAAGGCAUCGGCCAAAGCAUUCACAAUAUACGCAUUCUCACGAGGAUUUAGCUCAAGUUUCUUUCCUCUGGACGUCCAAUGCGAUCUACUUAGCUUUUCAGGCACUCAGAAAUACUCAACUGUAUGGAAAGUGACCCUCAUGAGGCUCUCUCAGAGACACCCCACCUCCAAACGAUGAUAGCCAAUCCCAAAUGAGAUAUUUAACACCACAACCACAGCAAAAUCAAAGGAAUGAAAACAAAGGCAGAGACCAGAGUGAAAAUUGAGAGAAUGAUGGACUGGGAAUCAGGUAAAGCAUGAAUGUAUAAAGCCUCAUUUCAGGUGACAUCCAUGGGCUCAUACAGGUGAGGAGAUCUUAAGCUAGACUUACAGAGUGUAUGAAAAACAGAGUCCCACUAGCUCCAAACCAAACCACAAGAAAUGACAGUAAGAUCAACAGCAACAGAGCAUAAGAAAGGAUCCAAAAACCAAUAAAUUCAGCAUGUAAUCCAUAUUAUCCAACUCAAAUUGGCGAGCAAUGUAGAGUAAAUCAAAAUGGGAAAGAGAUGAGAAAUAUAUGAAUCAAAGUAAGCAAGAAACUCACCUCAAACUUACUUGCAGCUACUCUCUUCCUGUUCUCUCCUUCUUCAAGCUUCACCCUCAAAAAUCCAUGGAGCCAGCAAGCUACCUUUCCUGUAACUAGUAGCCUCUCCAGAAAAGGUACUCCCCAGUUCCUCUCACCUCUCUCUCAUGGAAAACUCUCCCUGGAAUCCCUCAGACUUGCAGCCCCAGAAAGUUCCUUCUUCUCUAGCUAAACUCCUCUAAGCCUUCCCUCCGUAGUAGCCUAAGCUCCAGGAAAUCUCUCCAGAAAUAUGCUCUGUUAUCUCUAUGGUUCUCUUCCCUCUAAGGUGUCUUCCCUCGAGCUUCACAGUCUGCAACUAGCUCAAAAACUCUCUGAAAAAAAAACCCUCUCUAGCAGCCUAAACUCCAGGAAAAAGCCUCACCUCCUCUUUUCUUUUUCCUUCUCUCUCUCUCCUCCAGCUUUCUUCCCCGAAACAACCAAACCAAAAGCUUCCCUCCCAAAAGAUCUCUGCAGCCCCCCUCUCUAAUGGAAAAGCAUCUCCCCCCCUGAAAAAAUCUCCAACGGCCCAGAAUCCAAACCAAGCAGCUGCUCCCGCUCCUCUAACCGUCUGCAGCUUUUUGCAGAUUCUUUGGACACGUGUCGACCUCUGGUUGGCCAUCAAAACACCACUCUAGUGCCCCAACAGCCAACCAGAGAUUGACACGUGGCCACCCUAGAUGGCCACACCUAUCAAAAAUGGCUGCAUAAAAGCAAGCCCAAAUGGGGGUCUACAAAUAUGCCCCUCUUCGGUAGAGUUCACGAGUGUAAAUAAUAUGAACACUGAAGUGAAAGGUAAGUGUGAAUAGUGAGUGGAAUGAAGUGAACUCUACCGAAGAACCAAGGAGACCCCCAUAGGGACACUAGUGAGGUGUGAACUCACUCAGGCCAAAAGACAAACACAAAGGCUCUAAUCCUAAAAGAGAAAGAUGGGUGUCUCAAAAUGCCUCUGAAGCCACACUAAGGAUCCAAGCUCCCUCUAAAACGUCUCCAAAAGUGACCCGAAGAUCGAUGUCAAAGGUGAGUAACGGUCGAACCACCCUGGAGUACGAACAAGAAUGCGUCUAAAAGAGACUGCCCUAUGUGGACUACGAGAUGAAUAGGCGAUAAUCACAGGGUAACGAGGUGAGGAGAGUGAGAAUAAGUGCAAAUCCAUGAAGGUGAGACAUGCAAUGCCAGAGAAUAUGAACGCUAGGAGCUGUGACUCUGCAUGACAAGACUGACUCUAAACGCUAAACUAGAAAAUAAGAAAAUAAAGCUCUGCAAGCCAAACCAAAAAAGCUAACUCUAAACACUAAACUAGAAAAUAAGAAAAUAAAGCUCUGCAAGCCAAACCAAAAAAACUAACCCUAAACACUAAACUAGAAGGCCCAUAGGUGAAGACCUACGGUGGUGAUACAAUAAAAAUGCCCAUAGAUGCCAAUCUAUGGUGGUGAAAAUCUCGAAAGCCCAAGGAUGAAAAUCCAUGGUGGUGAAAUAACUGAAAUGCCCAUAGAAGUCUGAUCCAUGGUGGUGAUAUAACUGAAAUGCCCAUAGAUGAAAAUCUAUGGUGGUGAUAAAUCUGAAAUGCCCAUAGAUGAAAAUCUAUGGUGGUGAUAGCUGAAAGCCCAAUGAUGAAAAUCCAUGGUGGUGAUAUAAUCUCAAAAGCCCAAGGAUGAAAAUCCAUGGUGGUGAUAAUCUCGAAAUGCCCAAGGAUGAAAAUCCAUGGUGGUGAUAUAAUCUCAAAAGCCCAAGGAUGAAAAUCCAUGGUGGUGAUAAUCUCGAAAUGCCCAAGGAUGAAAAUCCAUGGUGGUGAUAAUCUCAAAAGCCCAGGGAUGAAAAUCCAUGGUGGUGAUAAACCUGAAAUGCCCAUAGAUGAAGAUCUAUGGUGGUGAAUCUGAAAUAAAGGCUCAUGGAUGAAAAUCCAUGAUGGUGAAUCUGAAAUGCCCAUAGAUGUCUGAUCUAUGGUGGUGAUAAUCUCAAAAGCCCAAGGAUGAAAAUCCAUGGUGGUGAUAAUCUCAAAAGCCCAGGGAUGAAAAUCCAUGGUGGUGAUAAACCUGAAAUGCCCAUAGAUGAAGAUCUAUGGUGGUGAUAACUGAAUGAAGGGGGAUGCCCUAAACAAGAUGACAAUAGGGGGAUGCCCUAGGUGAUAACUCGCAAAGAUCGACAAAUGCGUCUGACAAUCAUGAAAUCAGCACGAGACAUGACAAACCCAACGGGAGGGGGUAUGCCCCAGUAGAAAAGCGCUAAAGGGGGUAUGCCCCUACAUGACGACUCGCAAAGAUCAAGAAAUAGAUCAAGCAGUGGGAAAGUACGCCAAAGAUCUGAUAAACUCAAGGAUGGGGGGUAUGCCCCAGUGUGACGACCCAUAAAGAUCAAGAAGUAGAUCGAGUAGUGAGAGAAUCUGCAAAAGAUCCGAUGAACCCAAGGAUGGGGGUAUGCCCCAGUAUAGGAUAGUAACUAACAU
rnacentral:lncRNA from 1 species